AGGAACAUGAAAGAAUUUCAAAAAUUCUUCAAGAAUUCAGGAAGAAAAAGAAUGAUCCUACAUUUUUGGAAAAAAAGGAACGUUGUGAAUACCUGAAGAAUAAGCUUUCUCACAUAAAACAAAGAAUUCAGGAAUAUGAUAAAGUUAUGAAUUGGAAUAUACAAGGUUUUUCCUAAACCUCGUCGGAAAACUAUUUUUGUAUGGAAAUUUGUUUAAUAUUUAUUUACUGCCAUAUCUUUACCAAUUUCGUGAUACAUCUAAAAUUGGUUGCUAUCGGGAACUAGCUUUUGGCCAUUUUAAUCUGUUUGUAUGAGUGCUAAAAGGUUUGUUUUCAUUCAGAUACCUCUAAUUUUGAAUUCAGUAUGUGCCUUUAUUUAGAAUGAAUUCAUUUCUGAAGAAAUUAUGCCUAUUUCUCUUUAGAAAGUGCCCUCAGGAAAAGUGAUAUAGGAGUAAUGUCUCUUAAUAGGGGAAACCACUAGGAUAUUCUUAGUAGUAUUUGCAUUGUCACACUGCUGUCCCUUGGGUUUUCCAUUCCCUAAAAAGAUGAAUUUCUUUUCCUGACCAAAGUUGUCAUCUGCUUCCAUGAAUGGAAAGAAAUACAAGGCAUCCUUGUUACAGAGUUCCUUAAUCAGCAAGCCUAAAUAGCCACCAGAAAGCUCUCAUGCUGUGAAUUCCCAUUUUAUGCUCCUAGGCCUUAACUUUCAAGAAUAAGAAAAUAUGAAAUACUGAGUGGAGACAAAAACAGCCUUUAACCUUCUCUGGGGUGAUGCCAACAAAGGGCCCCCACCCUGUGGUCACUGGGGCCAUGCAGAGGCUCCCUCACAUCUGUCCUUCAGGUAGCUAGGUCGUCCCUUUCUAGCCUGACUUCACAUAAGUCCCCUGCAUGCACUGCAGCCAGACUGGAUUAGCUGUUCUCCACACUCAGCUGGGCAUUUUGAAAAUCUGUACUUUCCCCCAAGAUAUUCCCCCAAACCUGGAAUGUGCUUCCUCCUCAUUCCUGUCCUGAGAGUCCUCACGUUUCAUGGCUACUUUGGGACACCAGGCCUUUUACUCUCAGGCUCAAAGGGUUCUCUCCUUCCUCUGAUAACUCCAGAGUACUUUUUCUGACCCUCUCUUUUGCCCCUAUCAUGUCCUACCUUUUCUUUAUAUGUGUACAUGUUGUGUUAUAUUUGUCUGUGUACAUGUCACCUUCUCCCCAUCUCUUCACCCUAUUAGAUAACAAUCUGAUGAGCAGGGUCUCUGUCUUUGCAUUCCCCCUGCCUAGGACAGUGCCUUGCCCAGAGUGGGUGCUUCAUAGAUGUUAAAAAUCAUUGAAGAGGAAGAAUGGGUGGCACCUGGUCUUCACAAUUCAGACUGACUUCUAUCCCUAGUGGCCCCAUGGGCAUCGUAUAGUAAGAGAGAUUUGGGUGUGAAUAUUUUACCCUUCCCUUCCUAUACCUCCAAGUAGUCUGUGAUAUUCCAAGGUCCAUAUUUUCACCUUAAUCUGAGAUCUUCCAAGUAGUAAAGAUUCUUCUGAUUCCUUUCAGACAUAUGUGUGUGUGUACAUCAGAAUGAAAUAACUUGGAACAAGUGAAAUGAAUGCUUCAUUCAUGAGAACCUUAACGUUAUUAGCAAAGGCACAAAAAUGAAUUGUGGGAGCUUUUGUAGUGUUAAAAUUAUUAUUUGACCAUUAUCGAGCAACAACUCUUGAGUCCAGCGUGACCCUUCCUUUCCCGUGCACUUGGCCACCAGUGAGUAGCCUCUUACACAGAAUAGGCACAAUACAAGUCAAAUUGAAUUUUUUAUAAAGUUAGUUUAUCACUUAAGCUUGUAUGUUCAAGAUUACUGCCGGGAGAAAAAAAGCACAUAUAAUAAGUGUGUUAGUUGCCCUGAAGAGUUUCCUUUUUCAUUAUUAACAAAGUAAUCAUUAGUGUUUAUUUGUCGAUAUUCUGUUGAAAUGUAAACUGUUAGAUAAUAAAAUCAAGGACUAGAAAUAUUAACUUGAUAAAAAAUUUGUAUUACAGUUGUAAAUAUUAACCUGUGAAUGUCUUUUAAUUUUGUAACUGUUUUUUACAUAUCCAUACCUCAGGGUAUUAAAAAUGUUAUCUGUUACCUUA